GACGAACGCUGGCGGCGUGCCUAAUACAUGCAAGUUGAGCGCUGAAGGUUGGUACUUGUACCAACUGGAUGAGCAGCGAACGGGUGAGUAACGCGUGGGGAAUCUGCCUUUGAGCGGGGGACAACAUUUGGAAACGAAUGCUAAUACCGCAUAAAAACUUUAAACACAAGUUUUAAGUUUGAAAGAUGCAAUUGCAUCACUCAAAGAUGAUCCCGCGUUGUAUUAGCUAGUUGGUGAGGUAAAGGCUCACCAAGGCGAUGAUACAUAGCCGACCUGAGAGGGUGAGCGGCCACAUUGGGACUGAGACACGGCCCAAACUCCUACGGGAGGCAGCAGUAGGGCAUCGUCGGCAAGGGACGAAAGUCUGACCGAGCAACGCCGCGUGAGUGAAGAAGGGUUUCGGAUCGUAAAACUCGGUUGGUAGAGAAGAACGUUGGUGAGAGUGGAAAGCUCAUCAAGUGACGGUAACUACCCAGAAAGGGACGGCUAACUACGUG
rnacentral:rRNA from 1 species